rnacentral:rRNA from 1 species
GACGAACCGAGCGAACGUUGUUCGGAAUCACUGGGCUUAAAGGGCGCGUAGGCGGCCUGCCAAGUCAGGAGUGAAAUCUUUCGGCUCAACCGGAAAAGUGCUCUUGAUACUGGCGGGCUAGAGGGAGAUAGGGGCAUGUGGAACUUCCGGUGGAGCGGUGAAAUGCGCAGAUAUCGGGAGGAACACCGGUGGCGAAGGCGGUUCUCUGGGCCUGUACUGACGCUGAGGAGCGAAAGCGUGGGGAGCGAACAGG